CCCGCACAAGCGGUGGAGCAUGUGGUUUAAUUCGAUGCAACGCGAAGAACCUUACCUGGGCUUGACAUCCCGGGAAUCCCCUGGAAACAGGGGAGUGCCCUUCGGGGAACCCGGUGACAGGUGCUGCAUGGCUGUCGUCAGCUCGUGUCGUGAGAUGUUGGGUUAAGUCCCGCAACGAGCGCAACCCUUAUCUUUAAUUGCCAGCAUUCAGUUGGGCACUUUAAAGAGACUGCCGGUGUUAAACCGGAGGAAGGUGGGAUGACGUCAAGUCCUCAUGGCCUUUAUGCUUAGGGCUACACACGUGCUACAAUGGGUGGUACAAAGAGAAGCCAACUCGCGAGAGCGCGCCAAUCUCAAAAAGCCAUCCUCAGUUCGGAUUGGAGUCUGCAACUCGACUCCAUGAAGUUGGAAUCGCUAGUAAUCGCGGAUCAGCAUGCCCGCGGUCCGAAUACGUUCCCGGGCCUU
rnacentral:rRNA from 1 species